GGCCGGUAUUAAAAAUCACAGGACCACGUUUCUUGCAGCGGCGUAUGUCGAGCUAAGUGACAUCUUACCAGCGAAAGAAUUCAAGAUGUACUUCCGGCAGUUGGAAAUAGAUGAAUGUACCAUUCAACGGAUUGAAACUGAACACCAUGGCAACGUUCGGGAGCAGUGUUACCAGCUGUUUAUGGUCUUGGAGCGCAUGCGCAAAAACAAAACUAAGUUGUCGCAUGUAGAAUGGUCGUUGGAGUUAAUUCACAAACUUAAACACCAUAUUGACGAACGGUUAAAAGACAUGCCUUAUGGUUUGAAACAUAAAUGGCAUUGCAUUUUGGACGAACACUUAUUAGAAAUUACAAAGAAGUUUAAGUUGCCAUCUAUUGUUUAACAGACCCAACGUCUGUUUUCCAUUCACAUGUUAUCAAAUGCAACAAGGAUUCCUCGGCCUGGUCUCAAAGACGUCGCUUGUUGUAAAUUAGUGUAAUUUAUUGACUUUGACUAUACUUUUGUUUCGUGUCUAAAUGAAGAUCAAGGUUACUUACAUAUGAAUGAAUAAGAAAUAUGCAAAUUAAUAUGUUCCUAACUUCAUAACAUGUGAACGGUGCAAUUUACAAGAACAGAACUUAAAUAAUCGCAAACAUUUCUUCUAAUCAAGUAUUUAUCUGAUAAUAUUGUUUUUUAAGUGUGUUGUACGAUACUUAAUACGACGGGCCCUUGGUACGAAUGGGUAUAAGACGCUUUUUUCCUGAUAACAUGUUCGCACAAAUGGUACUUAAAAACUGUGUAUGAAAAUUGUUAAUGCAUAAAGCUUGAAUAAAGUACGCGAAAUAAAUGUACAGGUUCCCAUAUUGAGGCAUAUUUGCAUUUAAUUUACUGUUAUACAUAGGGAAUCUUAAAAUGAAACUACGUAAAUCCAAAGUCUUAUUGUCAUAACAUUAUUGAGAGUUGCAUUUAAAGAAAGUUUCUC